UACGGAGGGGGCGAGCGUUCUUCGGAAUUAUUGGGCGUAAAGGGCGCGUAGGCGGCUUGAUGUGUCAAAGGUGAAAUCCCUCGGCUCAACUGAGGAACUGCCUUUGAAACUGUCUGGCUUGAGGCCGGGAGAGGGUAGUGGAAUUCCCAGUGUAGCGGUGAAAUGCGUAGAUACUGGGAGGAACACCGGUGGCGAAGGCGGCUACCUGGACCGGUUCUGACGCUGAGGCGCGAAAGCGUGGGUAGCAAACAGG
rnacentral:rRNA from 1 species